GAAACACAUGAAAAUUAGCAGCUGAACACGGAAUCAUCAGAAAGAUUUGUGUUUACAUACAAAUCUCUUAAGAAUUGUCUAAUUAAUUGCUUUAUACGUG